rnacentral:rRNA from 1 species
CAAUAGCGUAUAUUAAAGUUGUUGCGGUAAAAAAGCUCGUAGUUGGAUUUCUGCGGGGAACGACCGGUCCACUCAACGAGUGCGUAUCUGGUUCGGUCUCUGCAUCCUCUCGAAAGACGUUUCUGCGCUUGAUUGCGUGGUUCGGAUCUCGGGACUUUUACUUUGAGGAAAUUAGAGUGUUCACGGCAGGCUAUCGCCAGAAUACAUUAGCAUGGAAUAAUACUAUAGGAUCUGAAUCUUAUUUUGUUGGUUCCUUUGAUUUAGAUAAUGACUAAUAGGGACAAUUGGGGGCAUUCGUAUGAUGACGUCAGAGGUGGAAUUCUUAGAUUGUCAUCCGACGAACGACUGCGAAAGCAUUUGCCAAGGAUGUUUNCAUUGA